rnacentral:rRNA from 1 species
UACAGAGGUCUCAAGCGUUGUUCGGAAUCACUGGGCGUAAAGGGUGCGUAGGCGGCGAAGAAAGUCGGGUGUGAAAUUUGAGGGCUCAACCCUCAAGUAGCACCUGAUACUACUUUGCUCGAGACCUGAAGAGGAGCUUGGAAUUCUCGGUGUAGCAGUGAAAUGCGUAGAUUUCGAGAAGAACGCUCGCUGCGAAAGCGAAGCUCUGGUCAGCGUCUGACGCUGAGGAGCGAAAGCGUGGGGAGCGAACAGG